rnacentral:ncRNA from 1 species
AAUCUGGUUGAUCCUGCCAGUAGUCAUACGCUUGUCUCAAGGAUUAAGCCAUGCAUGUCUAAGUAUAAAGGAUUUAUAAUGAAACUGCAAAUGGCUCAUUCAAACAGUUAUAGUUUAUUUGAUAUUCAAGCUAAUAUUCUUAUUAGUUAAAUGGAUAACCGUAGUAAUUCUAGAGCUAAUACAUGCGUUACGGGGAACUUUACGGGACCCCAGCGUUUAUUAGAUUUAAACCAAUAUUCCGCAAGGUCUACUGAGAUGAUUCAUGAUAACUGAUCGAAUUGCUGGAACUCUAGCAAUAAAUCAUGUAGGUUUCUGCUUCCCAUCAGCUUGAUGGUAGUGUAUUGGACAACCAUGGCAUUCACGGGCUAUCGGGGGAUUAGGGUUCGAUUCCGGAGAGGGAGCCUGAUAAACGGCUACCACUUCUACGGAAGGCAGCAGGCGCGAAAAUUAUCCAAUCCUGAUUCAGGGAGGUAGUGAAAGAAAUAAUGAACUAGGAUUUAUCCUGGGAUCACAAUGGGCUUGAUUUGCAAACACUUAGCGAGGAACAAUUGGAGGGCAAGUCUGGUGCCAGCAGCCGCGGUAAUUCCAGCUCCACUAGCCUAUGCAAUCAUUGUUGCGGUUAAGAGGCU